CAGUAGCCGCGGGAAUACGUAGGGCGCAAGCGUUAAUCGGAAUUACUGGGCGUAAAGCGUGCGCAGGCGGUUCUAUAAGACAGAUGUGAAAUCCCCGGGCUCAACCUGGGAACUGCAUUUGUGACUGUAGAGCUGGAGUGCGGCAGAGGGGGAUGGAAUUCCGCGUGUAGCAGUGAAAUGCGUAGAUAUGCGGAGGAACACCGAUGGCGAAGGCAAUCCCCUGGGCCUGCACUGACGCUCAUGCACGAAAGCGUGGGGAGCAAACAGGAUUAGAUACCCCCGUAGUCCCUGUCUCUUAUAC
rnacentral:rRNA from 1 species